UUGGAAAAGGACAGCUGAGAGGGUGAGACUCCCGUCCGCCUGGUGGAGUGAGUCAUUUGUCAACGAGUCGAGUUGUUUGGGAUUGCAGCUCUAAUUUGGUGGUAAAUUCCAUCUAAAGCUAAAUAUUGGUGGGAGACCGAUAGCGUACAAGUACCGUGAGGGAAAGAUGCAAAGAACUUUGAAAAGAGAGUUAAAGAGUACCUGAAACUGCUGAAACGGAAGCGAAGGAAACCAGUGUUUGUUGGUUCAUAUUUCCCCGGCCACUUGUGGCUUGGGCGCUGUGAGCUUUCGUGAGUUUGGGUUGGUUGAUCCCUUUGGAAGAGCGCAGUCAGAGUUGAUGUCUGUUGCUA
rnacentral:rRNA from 1 species